CAGUCGCCACGGGAACACGUAGGGUGCGAGCGUUAAUCGGAAUUACUGGGCGUAAAGCGUGCGCAGGCGGUUGUGUAAGACAGGUGUGAAAUCCCCGGGCUUAACCUGGGAACUGCGCUUGUGACUGCACAGCUAGAGUAUGGCAGAGGGGGGUGGAAUUCCACGUGUAGCAGUGAAAUGCGUAGAGAUGUGGAGGAACACCGAUGGCGAAGGCAGCCCCCUGGGCCAAUACUGACGCUCAUGCACGAAAGCGUGGGGAGCAAACAGGAUUAGAGACCCCUGUAGUCCCUGUCUCUUAUAA
rnacentral:rRNA from 1 species